rnacentral:rRNA from 1 species
GACGAACGCUGGCGGCGCGCCUAACACAUGCAAGUCGAACGGAGCUUUGAGAGCUUGCUUUUAAAGCUUAGUGGCGAACGGGUGAGUAACACGUGAGUAACCUGCCCCAGAGUGGGGGACAACAGUUGGAAACGACUGCUAAUACCGCAUAAGCCCACGGAACCGCAUGGUUCAGAGGGAAAAGGAGCAAUUCGCUUUGGGAUGGACUCGCGUCCGAUUAGCUAGAUGGUGAGGUAACGGCCCACCAUGGCGACGAUCGGUAGCCGGACUGAGAGGUUGAUCGGCCACAUUGGGACUGAGACACGGCCCAG